AGGGUUCGAUUCUGGCUCAGGAUGAACGCUGGCGGCGUGCUUAACACAUGCAAGUCGAACGGGAUCCAUCAGGCUUUGCUUGGUGGUGAGAGUGGCGAACGGGUGAGUAAUGCGUGACCGACCUGCCCCAUACACCGGAAUAGCUCCUGGAAACGGGUGGUAAUGCCGGAUGCUCCAGUUGAUCGCAUGGUCUUCUGGGAAAGCUUUCGCGGUAUGGGAUGGGGUCGCGUCCUAUCAGCUUGACGGCGGGGUAACGGCCCACCGUGGCUUCGACGGGUAGCCGGCCUGAGAGGGCGACCGGCCACAUUGGGACUGAGAUACGGCCCAGACUCCUACGGGAGGCAGCAGUGGGGAAUAUUGCACAAUGGGCGCAAGCCUGAUGCAGCGACGCCGCGUGAGGGAUGGAGGCCUUCGGGUUGUAAACCUCUUUUAUCGGGGAGCAAGCGAGAGUGAGUUUACCCGUUGAAUAAGCACCGGCUAACUACGUGCCAGCAGCCGCGGUAAUACGUAGGGUGCAAGCGUUAUCCGGAAUUAUUGGGCGUAAAGGGCUCGUAGGCGGUUCGUCGCGUCCGGUGUGAAAGUCCAUCGCUUAACGGUGGAUCCGCGCCGGGUACGGGCGGGCUUGAGUGCGGUAGGGGAGACUGGAAUUCCCGGUGUAACGGUGGAAUGUGUAGAUAUCGGGAAGAACACCAAUGGCGAAGGCAGGUCUCUGGGCCGUUACUGACGCUGAGGAGCGAAAGCGUGGGGAGCGAACAGGAUUAGAUACCCUGGUAGUCCACGCCGUAAACGAUGAGUGCUAAGUG
rnacentral:rRNA from 1 species